UUAUUUGCUGUAGCUUUCCACUUAGCCACUCAUGCAUGCGUCUGAUGUAAAUCAAAUGGUUGAUAUGGUAUUGAAAAGGUAGUGGAAAAUGUACUACAUUAGAAUAAUAUUAUUUAAUAAAACAUAGAGCAUUAAAAUUAGAAUAUCAAUUCCUUUUAUCCCCUCCCUCAGCCAAAACCUAGAAGUCCUGAAACCUGGAGGUAAAGCAGUGGGUAAGAAAAUAGGGAAACUGGGAGGAUUCGAUUGCUGGAAGGCAAAAUCAGCAAAGUUGCUGGAAGGAGAAAUCAACAAAGCUGUUGGAAAGCUGUUGGAAGGAAAAAAAAUUAAGUGUUGAAUCAACCGUUGAUGUAGAAACUGCAGUUUGGGUAUUUCUUUCUCAGGAAUACAUAAAUUGUGGAUUUCUGUCAAUCAUUUUGAAUGUUAAAUGUGGAAAUCAGUAGAAAAAAAAGGGUUUGUGAUGGUAAACUUCUAGAAAUAUGAAAGAAACAUAGGAAGGAAAGAAAAGAAUCAGAUUACUAUUUAAUGAGGAAGAAUUUAGUUGAGGUAGUGUACAAAAGAAGAAGAAAACAGGAAGAACGAAUCCCAAGUGAGGUGAGAUACCCAAUGAUGCAUAAGAAAUAGUAACAAUUUUAUAAAUCUUCAAUUUGAUGUUUUUAUCAUGUUUAUUAUUUCCUUUCUCAUGAUAGCAUGUUUUUCUUUUUCAAAUAGUUCAAUUGCUUCAUAUGUGAAUUACACAUGUACUAAUUUCAAUUUAUAUAAUCGUUGGAUAUGAUUAUGACAA